rnacentral:lncRNA from 1 species
CGGCGGGGGACCCCUGAAGUUCACCAAGAUCGAACGCCCUGGCUGCCCGUAACUUCCCAGAACACCGGGUGGCCUGAACCGCCAAGGGAGUCAGCUUUCACGACGUUUUCACGACACCCAGCCGCUCUGCUCACCGGCGCCCCCGCGCGGCAGCGGCGAGCACGAACAGCUAAGGCCCGCAGGUACAGAAGCCCGUGGACAGGAGAAACCUGCUUAUUCUAAGUCUGAAUUAGAAACAAAUCAGUUCACUGUUAUAACCUUACCUAACCUACCAUUUUGUUAUAGAUUUGAGCUUGAACCCAGGGCCUUGAAUCCAGGUCGGGCAAGAACCAAACCAGUGAAAGGUCACCACGUGGUUGAAAUAUGUUGUUAUAAGUUCUUUCAGCAAUGCUGUUGAGAGCAGAAAUAAAUCUUUUUGCUGUUGACCUGUUGCUCAUCCCAGAGCCAUGCUGGGAUCGCUCAAAGUCCAGGUUUCCGAAUUCAUCUGGAAUAACCAAGAAAGAGAAGUAGGCAUUGACGGCAUCCUCCCAGCAAUCCUAUGCCUGGGGAAUUAUAAUUAUUCCGAUUUACAGAUGAAGACAACUUUGGCAUGAAGACAACUUUGGCACAUAAGGAUGGAUGACUUCCAAAUGUUACACUAGUAAUGACUGACACCUGCGAUUUUAAUCCAUGCUACCUUGUUUCCAUUUGGAAAAAAAAAAGAUUUGAAAAAUAUCUGCCAUACUUCCCCAAAGUGAAAAAGCACUUUUUUUUCCCCCAGAAAGGGAGGAAGGAGAGAGGAUUGGGAAGAGAGGUGAGAAAGAAAAGGAGAAAGAGAAAGAACAGAUUCCUACAAAAAUUAAGUAAGGGGCAGCAAAAUGCCUGAGCAGGUAAAGGUGUCGGCCAGGACUGACAUCAGUUCAAUCCCUGGGACCCAUGCAGAGGACCGGCUUCCAG